rnacentral:rRNA from 1 species
ACUUACGGCCAUACAACCAUGCCAGAUCUUGUCCAAUCUCGGAAGCUAAGCAGGGUCGGGCCUGGUUAGUACUUGGAGGGGAGACCACCUGGGAAUACCAGCUGCUGUAAGCU